CUUGAUGUUAUUAAAUGGUACUACCCAGAUAAAAAAUCUCCACCAAGUCCCACUAACCAAGAUUCCUGCUUGAGUCAAGCAAAUGCCCUUGCCCAGAGGUCUAUUACUUUUUUUUUUUUUUUCAGACAUAAAGCCACGAAUGCCUAUAUAAUUUUGAAAUAAGCUGCACUACUUGAGCUAACACCCUGAGAGUCUCAUCUGAAAACAUCUUUGCUGCUUCAAUAGUUCCAACUUGUUUUAUGUUCUCCAAGGUUUGUCUCAGAAACACUCAACCCAAGCACUCUGUUAGAAGGAAAAGGCCAGCAAAGAAUGAGUCCAUUCCCAUGCUCUGACAGUAAUAUUAGCCAAUAGGCUAAUUCAUCAGGAAGUACAACCACAAGCUGCUGUCUCUUCUCCUUUGAGAUGCAGUUGAAGGUUAAACUGUGUUGAUAUCAGCUGGCUGAUGUGGAUUGAAAAGUCUACUAAGGAGAAGUGGGCAGAUGGUAGUGACUGGGGCAAAAUCAUUCUUGGAACUGAUUGGCAGACUGAGUUUUUCAAUGAAGAGAGGACCUAGCAAUUUACCUUCUUGUCAUCAGGUCUGAGCUGACUCUUAGAGCUCCACAAAUCUUUCUCUACUGUCCCACAGCCAUGGAGACUAUUCAAGGCAUGUGCCUGGUGAGACCAGAGGUUGCCUUUCCAGCACCUUUCAUGGUCUGAUUAUAAGUUGUGAGCUCAUAUGAGUAGAAUGGUGUGAACCCCCAGCAACUUUGUCAAUGACACCAAGCUGUGUGGUGUCGUUGACAUGCUGGACGGAAGGGAUGCCAUUCAGAGGGACCUGGACAGGCUUGAGAGGUGGGCCUGUGUGAACCUCGUGGAGUUCAACAAGGCCAAGUGCAAACUCAUGGACUGAGAUUAACAAGGAAACAGAGACUGACACCAUUUACUACAAGCAGACUUGUGCCAACUUCCAAUUUCUGGAAUAGAAAAAUCAGUCUGAGGAUCUGGGAGAGAAAAUGAAGCAAUUAACAAGUAAAUUGAUUCCAACUGAUCUACUUGGAAAAGUGGCCAUCACUUCUCAGACCUUAGAAGAGCUUUGUUGUUGUCCACAAUUUACAUUGUCUGAUGCCAUUUAGUUACAAUAUUUAUAGGUAAUGUAAGUAUGUAAAUCUGAUAUGAAAGAAAUUAUAUAUUUUUUUCUUCUUAUUUGUUAUUUCUUGCAUUUUUUUGAAAUGAUAGUCUCAAGAAAUCCCAUCUAUCAGUGGUGCAAAAAAGUCAUUGUCACUUUGCCUAAAAAUAAGCUUACUGCAUUUGUAUUCUGCACUGAUACUGUACCUCACACAAACAACAUAUGAUCACCUUGAUAAGGAACAACUCAAAGUCAGCCCACCUUUUCAAGUAUUUUUAAAAAAGCUAUAUUUUUGAAAAUUUGGUAUCUGAUCUCAUAUGUUUUUCAUCUCAGUGUCCCUCUGAUAUCAAGCAUUUAUUUUCUGUGCUAAACUUUUUUUUUUCACAGAAAGAAAUAAAUAAGCCUGAUGAUUUCUGACAAGUCCACUCAUAUGGAAUUUAAAAAGCUUUUGUGGGAACUUACAAUAAACCUCAACACAAAAUUCCUUGGGUAGGAGGGGGAAAAAGAAUUAUUGACAGCUCAUAUUGGUUUGUGAAUAUUAGUCUUGAGAUCCAAAUCAGGUCCAAACUUUCUGUAGUCUAUAAUUAAUACCAGCAAUAACCCGAUGAUACUUCAGUAGUGCCAGAUCGUCCCCCACAGCUCAUAUGAGUUAUGGUAUCAUCAAAUCUACAUGUUCACAAAAGAUCCUACUUCAUCUGUAGGAAAAAAUGAACAAGUAAUCUUUAUGGUUGAAAGUCAAUUCAUUAAUCUUCCCUGUCAUAUAUCAAAAUGCUGCAUUUAGCAACGGUAGAUUUAGAAGUGAAAGUGUAGAAAGCAUGACUAUAAUAAUCAUAUAUUUCAUAUCAGGGUUAGUUAUGGGUCUGCAAUGCAGGAAAGGGAUAUCUUUUCACUCAGUUUGGUUCUGCCAGAAAAGAAUGUGUUCUAAAGUGAUUUAUUUAUUUAUUUUAAA